UGAUAGAGGUCGCGGUCACCAAGAGUAGCUCGCUCCGUCACAGGCACGGGGGGCGAGGGAAAGGGGGGACCGCCGAGGAGCGGACGAGAGCGCCUGAUCGGGUCCGUGUCCGGGGCAGCGGAGAAUAUCCGAUGCACUGUCGCCCCUCAUGGGGCGGAGAGCUGUCAGA
rnacentral:ncRNA from 1 species